AGGAGUCUGAUCCUGCUGACCUUAUUCAGACAAAGCUCUUUUUGAUUCCAGUAGGAUUUUGCCUGAGUAGGGACUGCAGGGUUUGGCCCAC
rnacentral:ncRNA from 2 species